GAUGAACGCUGGCGGCGUGCCUCUUUUAUGCAAGUCAAACGCGCAGCGAGAGGUGCUUGCACCUUUCAAGCGAGGGGCGAACGGGUGAGUAACACGUGAAUAACCUGCCUCAAGGCUGGGGAUAACAUUUGAAAACAAAUGCUAAUACCAAAUAAAACUUAGUAUCGCAUGAUAUCAAGUUAAAAGGCGCUCCGGCGUCCCCUAAAGAUGGAUCCGCGGGGCAUUAUUUAGUUGGGGGGGUAAAGGCUUACCAAAACAAUGAUGCAUACCCAAGUUGAAAGACUGAUCGGCCACUUUGGGACUGAAACACGGCCCAAACUCCUACGGGAGGCAGCAGUGGGAAAUAUUGCACAAUGGGGAAAACCCUGAUGCACCGACCCCGCGUGAAGAAAAAAGGUCUUCGGAUUGUAAACUCCUGUUGUUGAGGAAAAUAAUGACGGUACUCAACAAGGAAGUGACGGCUAACUACGUGCCAC
rnacentral:rRNA from 1 species